UACGUAGGGUGCAAGCGUUGUCCGGAAUUAUUGGGCGUAAAGAGCUCGUAGGCGGUCUGUCGCGUCGGCUGUGAAAACUCGGGGCUCAACUCCGAGCUUGCAGUCGAUACGGGCAGGCUAGAGUUCGGCAGGGGAGACUGGAAUUCCUGGUGUAGCGGUGAAAUGCGCAGAUAUCAGGAGGAACACCGGUGGCGAAGGCGGGUCUCUGGGCCGAUACUGACGCUGAGGAGCGAAAGCGUGGGGAGCGAACCGG
rnacentral:rRNA from 1 species